rnacentral:rRNA from 1 species
ACUCCUACGGGAGGCAGCAGUGGGGAAUCUUGGACAAUGGGCGCAAGCCUGAUCCAGCCAUGCCGCGUGAGUGAUGAAGGCCUUAGGGUCGUAAAAGCUCUUUCGCCAGAGAUGAUAAUGACAGUAUCUGGUAAAGAAACCCCGGCUAACUCCGUGCCAGCAGCCGCGGUAAUACGGAGGGGGUUAGCGUUGUUCGGAAUUACUGGGCGUAAAGCGUACGUAGGCGGAUUAGUCAGUUAGAGGUGAAAUCCCGGGGCUCAACCCCGGAACUGCCUUUAAUACUGCUAGUCUUGAGUUCGAGAGAGGUGAGUGGAAUUCCGAGUGUAGAGGUGAAAUUCGUAGAUAUUCGGAGGAACACCAGUGGCGAAGGCGGCUCACUGGCUCGAUACUGACGCUGAGGUACGAAAGUGUGGGGAGCAAACAGGAUUAGAUACCCUGGUAGCUCGAUG